GACGAACGCUGGCGGCGUGCCUAAUACAUGCAAGUCGAGCGAAGUUUUUCUGGUGCUUGCACCGGAAAAACUUAGCAGCGAACGGGUGAGUAACACGUAAAGAACCUGCCUUAUAGACUGGGACAACUAUUGGAAACGAUAGCUAAUACCGGAUAACAGCAUUAACUGCAUGGUUGAUGUUUGAAAGUUGGUUUUGCUAACACUAUGAGAUGGCUUUGCGGUGCAUUAGCUAGUUGGUGGGGUAAAGGCCUACCAAGGCGACGAUGCAUAGCCGACCUGAGAGGGGGAUCGGCCACACUGGGACUGAGACACGGCCCAGACUCCUACGGGAGGCAGCAGUAGGGAAUCUUCCGCAAUGGGCGAAAGCCUGACGGAGCAACGCCGCGUGAGUGAAGAAGGAUUUCGGUUCGUAAAGCUCUGUUGUUAGGGAAGAAUGAUUGUGUAGUAACUAUACACAGUAGAGACGGUACCUAACCAGAAAGCCACGGCUAACUACGUG
rnacentral:rRNA from 1 species